CAUAAUUACAACAUAAGCGUAAAUAUGUAAUUUAUUUACAGUGCCUCAUUUCUGAUCAUUACUCCAAAUUUAAGAGUUUGAUUACUCAAAGUGCAACUAACUUUAAGCUUUAUUCAUGCUUGUUCUGUUCCAUUAACAUUAUACCAACAUGUUUCCAUUUACUUUCCUUUAUUAGAAUAAAAUGUCAUUGAUUUAUGUCAGUUUUUAAAUAUAAGUACAAACUGCGACCUAGCGCGGGAUUUUACACUUUUUUGGUUGCUUCCGGCUUCCGUAGUUAGUAAGACUCUCCUGCAGACACCAGGGGGAAGGAUGGCGUGGAAAAUGUGUGGUAAGCUGAUGCAUCGCUUUACCCCCAAGGGAUCCACUGAUGUCACAUGACUGCUUUUCAUUGAGCAGUUUUAGUUGUUGUGCAGAAGCAGAAAUUAAUCAUUUGGUAAAAACCAAGGCCAGAGGAUGAGCAGGAAGAAUGCGCUUCCAGCUGCAUGAUCGUUCUGGUGAGAGUCAUUUGAAGAACAGAAGCAGAGCUUUUUUUUUAUCAGUGGAAAGAGGUUGUAUAAAAUGAAUGUUUUGCAUCUUGAUUGUGUAACAGAAAUGAAACUUAAAAAUAAAACAAAUUUUUAA